UACGAAGGGGGCUAGCGUUGCUCGGAAUGACUGGGCGUAAAGGGCGCGUAGGCGGAUGGCACAGUCAGAUGUGAAAUUCCCGGGCUUAACCUGGGGGCUGCAUUUGAUACGUGUUGUCUAGAGUGAGGAAGAGGGUUGUGGAAUUCCCAGUGUAGAGGUGAAAUUCGUAGAUAUUCGCAAGAACACCAGUGGCGAAGGCGGCUCACUGGCCCGGAACUGACGCUGAGGUGCGAAAGCGUGGGGAGCAAACAGG
rnacentral:rRNA from 1 species